CCCUUAGACGUUCUGGGCCGCACGCGCGCUACACUGACCAGUGCAACAAGCAUCCGUCCUUGGCCGACAGGCUCGGGCAAUCUUUGAACGCUGGUCGUGAUGGGGAUAGACUUUUGCAAUUUUUGGUCUUCAACGAGGAAUUCCUAGUAAACGCAAGUCAUCAACUUGCAUUGAUUACGUCCCUGCCCUUUGUACACACCGACCGUCGCACCUACCGAUUGAAUGGUCCGGUGAAGCCUCCGGAUUGGCGCGCACCUCGGUGCCGCCGAGAAGUUGGCUAAACCUUACCAUUUAGAGGAAGGUGAAGUCGUAACA
rnacentral:rRNA from 1 species